GAUGAACGCUGGCGGCGUGCCUAAUACAUGCAAGUCGAGCGAACGGACUAGAAGCUUGCUUCUCUGAUGUUAGCGGCGGACGGGUGAGUAACGCGUGGAUAACCUACCUUUCAGACUGGGAUAACUUCGGGAAACCGAUGCUAAUACCGGAUGAUAUCUUGAAACGCAUGGUUCAAGAUUGAAAGACGCUCUUGCUGUCACUUAUAGCUAUAUCCCGGCUGCUUUAGCUAGUGGUUAAGGAAACGGUUUACCAAGGGAACGAUGCAUAGCGGACAGAAGAGGGGGACCGGCCAAACGGGACGUGGGACACGGCCCAGACUCCUCCGGGAGGCAGCAGAAGGGAACCUUCGGCAAGGGGCGAAAGCCGGACGGAGCAAGGCGGCGUGGGUGAUGAAGGUCUUCGGAACGAAAAACUCUGUUAUUAGGGAAGAACAUAUGUGUAAGUAAAUGUGCACAACCUGACGGUACCUAAUCAGAAAGCCACGGCUAACUACGUG
rnacentral:rRNA from 1 species